CCCUCCGUAGCUCAGUGGUUUAGAGCGUCUGGCUGUAGCCCGGAAGAUCCCCAGUUCGAUUCUGGGCGGGGGGA
rnacentral:tRNA from 1 species